rnacentral:piRNA from 1 species
UCAGAUGUCUGUACUGUUACUGAGUCC